rnacentral:rRNA from 1 species
GAUGAACGCUGGCGGCGUGCCUAAUACAUGCAAGUCGAGCGAACAGACGAGGAGCUUGCUCCUCUGACGUUAGCGGCGGACGGGUGAGUAACACGUGGAUAACCUACCUAUAAGACUGGGAUAACUUCGGGAAACCGGAUCUAAUACCGGAUAAUAUAUUGAACCGCAUGGUUCAAUAGUGAAAGACGGUUUUGCUGUCUCUUAUAGAUGGAUCCGCGCCGCAUUAGCUAGUUGGUAAGGUAACGGCUUACCAAGGCAACGAUGCGUAGCCGACCUGAGAGGGUGAUCGGCCACACUGGAACUGAGACACGGUCCAGACGCCUACGGGAGGCAGCAGUAGGGAAUCUUCCGCAAUGGGCGAAAGCCUGACGGAGCAACGCCGCGUGAGUGAUGAAGGUCUUCGGAUCGUAAAACUCUGUUAUUAGGGAAGAACAAAUGUGUAAGUAACUAUGCACGUAUUGACGGUACCUAAUCAGAAAGCCACGGCUAACUACGUG